CCACAGCCCCCUCCCACUUCUGCCCGCAUCAUAAGACUCCACUGUCCUCUGAGCCCCAAUAAAAGCAGCCCACCUUUGCUGAGCAGCUAAGUCUCCCUGGGGGGGGAGAGGGGAAACGGUUAAUGUUUCCCCUUUGCCCCCGUGGGAUGUGGGAGGGCGGCCGAAGUCCUGGGCUUUUUCCGCAAUCUCACUCCCUGUAGGGGAUCCAGGUUUCUGGUAGAGGACGCCGAGCUGUCUCCCUUAGACCCCUGCAGGCUCCUUCGGGAGCUCCUACUGGCCACCGUCUGACGUGCCCCUCUCGGGCUAAGGGCUGAAGCGGGGUCUCCCCCUCCCUGUAAGAAUAAGCUCCCCAAGCAGCUCGAAGACCCAGCUCCCAAAGGUGUGGUCCUUCUGGUUGAGCCAGAGUAGCUCAAGCUGUGUCUGGGUGGGCUCAUCCCUUGGUGGUCCUGCCCCAACACAGAUUGACCAAGGCCCACUGUUUAACCUGGCCCUGCAGGCCUGGCUGGUUGCCGCUUUUUGGAGCCGAGAAGGAAUUUUCCCCUGGGAGGUCUCUGGAUCCCCAGGUUUUUUGCCUUCUCUGCACGGCCUUCCUCUUGAGCUCUGCAAGUGCCUUGGCUUGCCGCUGAAGACGAGUCAAGCAGUGGGUCUUUCCCCCUCCCACCCCUCCCCAAAUAAAAUAUAAAUAGAUUUGAA